GAGACACUGGGAGAGACACUAUGUCAGGGGACGCAUACCUGAUGUUGCUCUCUAUAGUAGCCUAUUUAUGUGUUCUCAACACUGAGGCUUAUUCAGGAGGUUUUCCACUCACUCUUCCUGACUGGAGAUCAAAUGCAGAUUAUUUCGCAAAGUGUGAUUUUGGCAGUGAUUUGCCGGCAUCCUGCGAUUGGACCUCUGAGGGACCCAUCAG